rnacentral:rRNA from 1 species
AUUCCCCUAGUAACUGCGAGUGAAGCGGGAAAAGCUCAAAUUUAAAAUCUGGUAGUCUUUGGCUGCCCGAGUUGUAAUCUAGAGAAGCAUUAUCCGCGCUGGACCGUGUACAAGUGUCCUGGAAUGGACCAUCAUAGAGGGUGAGAAUCCCGUCUUUGACACGGACUACCAGGGCUUUGUGAUGUGCUCUCAAAGAGUCGAGUUGUUUGGGAAUGCAGCUCUAAAUGGGUGGUAAAUUCCAUCUAAAGCUAAAUAUUGGCGAGAGACCGAUAGCGAACAAGUACCGUGAGGGAAAGAUGAAAAGAACUUUGGAAAGAGAGUUAAACAGUACGUGAAAUUGCUGAAAGGGAAACGCUUGAAGUCAGUCGCGUUGGCUGGGGAUCAACCUUGCUCUUGCUUGGCUUACUUCCCAGUUGACGGGUCAGCAUCAGUUUUGACCGGUGGAUAAAGGUCAGGGGAAUGUGGCACCUUCGGGUGUGUUAUAGCCUUUGGUCAU